rnacentral:misc_RNA from 1 species
GUGAUGGUCCUAUGCUGAGUAAAAAAAAGUUCCCGGAACUUAUACAACCUAUUGAGCAAAGAAUGCAAAAUGUCGUAAAUUAUAUCAAGUCUCUGAAGCCCGCUCUGCUUGUAAAUGUUGAACCUAUCGUCGAUCCAUAUGGUCCAUCGAUUGUUGAUGAAACCUUGGAAGCAAUUGUUGUCAGCAAAGAGACAUUAGCAGGUGGAAUGUCGGUUAACAAGAAGCGAGCCGAAAAUGGCCUUUCG